rnacentral:rRNA from 1 species
GUCCGCAACGAGCGCAACCCUAUUGCUAGUUACCAUCAUUAAGUUGGGGACUCUAGCGAGACUGCCAGUGAUAAACUGGAGGAAGGUGGGGAGUGACGUCAAAUCAUCAUGCCCCUUAUGACCUGGGCUACAAACGUGAUACAAUGGCUGGAACAAAGGGAUGCGAAGCAGUGAUGUGGAGCGAAACCCAUAAAAACAGUCUCAGUUCGGAUUGAAGUCUGCAACUCGACUUCAUGAAGUCGGAAUCGCUAGUAAUCGCCGGAUCCAGAACGCCGACGGUGAAUACGUUCUCGGGGUUU